rnacentral:rRNA from 1 species
GUAGGGUGCAAGCGUUAAUCGGAAUUACUGGGCGUAAAGCGUGCGCAGGCGGUCCGCUAAGACAGAUGUGAAAUCCCCGGGGCGUUAACCUGGGAACUGCAUUUGUGACUGGCGGGCUAGAGUAUGGCAGAGGGGGGUAGAAUUCCACGUGUAGCAGUGAAAUGCGUAGAGAUGUGGAGGAAUACCGAUGGCGAAGGCAGCCCCCUGGGCCAAUACUGACGCUCAUGCACGAAAGCGUGGGGAGCAAACAGGAUUAGAUACCCUGGUAGUCCACGCCCUAAACGAUGUCAACUAGUUGUCGGGUCUUCAUUGACUUGGUAACGUAGCUAACGCGUGAAGUUGACCGCCUGGGGAGUACGGUCGCAAGAUUA